rnacentral:rRNA from 1 species
CAUGCAAGUCGAGCGGUAGAGAGAAGCUUGCUUCUCUUGAGAGCGGCGGACGGGUGAGUAAUGCCUAGGAAUCUGCCUGGUAGUGGGGGAUAACGUUCGGAAACGGACGCUAAUACCGCAUACGUCCUACGGGAGAAAGCAGGGGACCUUCGGGCCUUGCGCUAUCAGAUGAGCCUAGGUCGGAUUAGCUAGUUGGUGAGGUAAUGGCUCACCAAGGCGACGAUCCGUAACUGGUCUGAGAGGAUGAUCAGUCACACUGGAACUGAGACACGGUCCAGACUCCUACGGGAGGCAGCAGUGGGGAAUAUUGGACAAUGGGCGAAAGCCUGAUCCAGCCAUGCCGCGUGUGUGAAGAAGGUCUUCGGAUUGUAAAGUACUUUAA